AUGGAAUCCAAACCCAGAGCUGUGACCCAUCCUCUCUCCCAAAGCUACCACACCAUUCACCUCCAAUUAGGGAUUAUGGGGCUUCUUGUCCUAGAGCUUCAAGAGUCCAAUUUAUGAUCCCACCUGCUGUUCAACACCUAGAGCGCCACCUUUUGAAGAAGCACCAAGAGAGUAAGUGCGAUUUACCCCUCAUAGUUAAGAGUCACAGGAAGCAUUUCAUCAACUCAAUUCCAAAAGCUGGGCCUCCCAGGGAAAUGGUUCUGUUGUCCACCUCUCGGGGAAUUUCAUUAACCCCGGGCUCCAGCAGCAGCUGUAAUGACACUUCAAAAAGAGAUUCACACAACUUGAGUGGCCCCACAAGGUCCAUCUAUCUCUGGAUCUGAGAAAGUCUCAGGACAAAGUCCCAGGGAUGGGUCAGGCAGAAGUUGAUCACAGAACCUCAUGUUCCUCAGCACUGGGAGAUGAAAGCAGCCUUCAUGCACAGAGUGUCUCAUCACAGGGUCCAGGGACAUGCCACCUGCGGAAGGACCUGACAAACGGUCUGGGAAGAGCUCUGAAAGGUCUGUACAGGAGCCCAGAAGCUUACCCAGGCAAAGUUCUCGAGGCUGUCUCUGGACAGAGGAGGAAAGUUGCCAAAUGAGACACCCAAGAAGUGACUCGUUUCCCUAGUGGGACCAACAGGGAACUGCUAGAAGGCACCCUGAAAAACCACUCAAACAGCAAGUGGAAGCAUGCUAAGGGCAGUAAAGUUCCGGUGGGCAUUUGUCAUGGAAUACGUAUGAACCAUGUUUUGGUUCCUCCUGAAAAGUUAGACAAAUAUGGAAACUUGUAAAAAAAAAAAUCAACUUUCAAUGGUUGUACCACCCAAGAACACUUCUAAUGGGCCUUCCUUCCCUGAUCCUGUCACUCAGAAGGUGCUGGAAACAUGCCUUACAAGAUGCCUGGUGAGGCACAGAUGGGAGCCUGCCUCUCAGAGGCCUCAAAACUAUACAUGUUUUUAACAUGAAAAAGGCUACCGUUUUCCACAUCCCUCCAAUUCCUCUUUGUCCUUCUGGGACUCUAGAUCCAUCGUUAAAAAGGCCAGUGUCCUGGGAGAACCUUAUCAGAAAGGCCCAGAAGAGAAAGUGAGGAAAACAACUUCCACUGUGGAAUCUCUUUCCACACAGAACCCUCAUUCUGCCUCCCAGUUUGGAUUCCUGAGAGACUCCACCUAGUGACAAUUCUGGGCCCUCUGAGUCCCCUACAACUGUCCAGGGGUGACAUAAUGACUUCUCUGUCCACCUUACAAAGUCUCUUGGGCAGAGAAUAGCACAGUGAUAUGGUUCUUAGAUCUUGGACAGGCAACCCAGAGCCAAAUCCAGGCCUAGUAAAGGGUGCCUAUGAGUCACAAGAGAGUGAGGGUGUGGCUUUAAGAGAUAAUCUACCAAAAGGUGUCAGUUCUGGAGAUCAAUGUGGCAUCCCAGUUACCAAGUAGCAGGGGCACCAGAGAACUAGAAGAGGCAGAGAAAGAGUCCUGUGCCUGGGUUCUGACUAUGGAAGCCAGGGAGGUGACCAGCUCUCAAACCAACAAUCAGCAUCCAAGGGAUUUAGAAACGCUGGAGACCAAUGAAAGUCCAUCUUUUUCUAGUACUAUUUCCCAGGAUGCACAAGACUUGGGCCUGAGCACAUCUCACUGCUUGGCAACUGGUGUUUUCCUGCAGGACUAUGCCACUAGGAUGUUCUUUUAAGACUGCCCUGAGGUUCUGCUUGCUUCAGAUAUCCUGGGCCAGAGCCUCCCAGUCCAGCUUCAAGACUGUGUCUGCUACAAGCAAGUCAACCUCUUAGGACAGGUCGCAGAAGCACAGGAUCUCUUGACCUCUGGUGGAGAGGAGAAAUUGGGGGUUCACCACAGGUAUGCUCAAAGAAAAACUGCAUGAAACCACCUCAAGAUCCAGGGAGUAGGUACGCAUGUUACCAUAGGAUUACUACUACAGUAAUAAUAUAGCACAAGGAAACACUAGCUGUGUUCACCAAGCCAAUACCAAGGUACACAGCCAGCCUUCCACUGACAGAAGGAUGCCCUAUGGUAACAACCAGGCUCAGGUGACCAGAAUCUGUGUCCCAAGCCAGCCCCUAUCAGCACAGGGCACAAGCACUAUGUGUCCCACAGACCGCUGUCCACUGUCCUAGGCACUGCCUCUGCAGAAGUGGACUAUAAAAGAAAUUAAAAACUUUUGCCCAAAAGAA